ACAAAAAAAUGAACAAUAAAAAAAUAACUUCCAAGCAAUACUGCAUGUUGAUAAGAACCACUAAGUAAAAUAAUAUGAUUGGCUCACUUCUAAAGCUAUUGUAGGUUUGACCAGUUUGGAAAUAGCAUGCCUCACUGCUCGGCUAAUAUACCUAACUCCUUCCAAAAUGGGUACAACUUAUUUUAUUUUGUGACUAGGCAAGAUUAAGUAAAACAAUUGAAAAUAUAUUUUUAAAAAGCAUAGUAACUCAAAACAACUUAUUUGGGAUCAUUUUCUACUCUCUUUUAAGGGGAAAAACCCAUGAAAUCACAGUGCCUAAAUGUGAAACGGAGACAGAUUCAAAAAGAGCAGUGUCGGUUCCAUUUACAAAGCCCUUUAUCCCAUUACAUUUAUAGCAAUACUGUGAUCAACAUCAUACAAGGAUUCUUAUUUCUUCCUUAGACGGCAGCAAUGUUUCUCCCACUGCAUAACAGAUUGCAACUCUGCAAAUGGUUUAAAUCAACUUUCUGCACCCUGAAUUUACAAACUAUUGGAUGUUAAGUUUCCUUAAAACUAUCUUAUUUUUAAACUUUACUUAAAGCUAAAACUAAAUCUUUAAACACACACACACACACACA